ensembl:misc_RNA 7SK 7SK RNA
GGAUGUGAGGGUGAUCUGGCUGCAACAUCUGUCACCCCAUUGAUCGCCAGGGUUGAUUUGGCUGAUCUGGCUGGCUAGGCUGGUGUCCCCUUCUUCCCUCACAGCUGCGCGCUCAGUCGAAAAGGACGGCCUUCCCCAAAUAGAGAUGGUCCGGUGUUCGGUCCAGGGUAUACGAGUAGCUGCGCUCCCCUGCUAGAACCUCCAAACAAGCUCUCAAGAUAUAAAGCAGAACAGAUUGUUGACUUAUCAUGAACCUAAAAGCAAGAAUAUUGCCGAUGAAAUUU